GGGCGAAGUAGGGGCGUGGCAGGAGCCCCGCUCCGCGGAUCCAGGUUGAAAUUCCUCCCUCCUGGAAUCCGACCGUGAGCAUUUCUGAGCGGUGGUGAGGAGGAGGCCACCAAGACACUUCCCUCCCGCUGUGCAAAGGAACGCAGGAGCCCGGCGCAGAUGGAAACCUUUUGAGAAGAGAGACCAGGACUGCUUGAUCUUAAAUUCCCUCUCAGCGUCUGGCUCCCUGUGGUGGUCACUAAAUAACGGCUGGCUAAGUGAUGGCUCUAUAACAGCUCUAUAUAAACAUUACUACGCAAUAUUUAUCACAUGUUCACUAUGUACCAGGAAUUUUCUACAUAUUCUACAUGUAUUAUCUCAUUCAUUUUUAUAAAAAUCCAAAGAUUAUUAUGGUUUAA
rnacentral:lncRNA from 1 species